CGCGUAGGCGGUUCGGUAAGUUGCUGGUGAAAUCCCGGGGCUCAACUCCGGGGCGGCCGGCACGACUGCCGGACUUGAGCACGGUAGGGGCAGAUGGAAUUCCCGGUGUAGCGGUGGAAUGCGUAGAGAUCGGGAAGAAUACCAGUGGCGAAGGCGUUCUGCUGGGCCGUUGCUGACGCUGAGGCGCGACAGCGUGGGGAGCAAACA
rnacentral:rRNA from 1 species